rnacentral:lncRNA from 1 species
CUUUGUUGUUUGUUUUUUCUCGAUUGAACUGUUUCUCUUUUUUGUUGAUAUUAAGUCAUAUUUAACUAAACGGAACUAUGUUUUACAAAUUGUUGAAGGAUGUACGUUACUAAUAUAUAUAGUGCUUACAUUCAUACAAUCUUGGGUACCGUAUACCCUUAACAUAGUGUUGUGUAACUUUUUAUUAAGCCCUCAAAAGUCUGCUCGUUUCCUUUGUCUAACCAGUCAUGCAAGGAAUUAUUGAAAAUAAAAUCAUUUGCUACUUAUCUACCCUUAAUUUUUUGCUUGUUUGCAGGUUAUAUAUUUUCUGACCUAAAAUCGUCAUAGAUAUAACAUACUUCAUUACGACUGUCCUUCGACUUCCCCC